rnacentral:rRNA from 1 species
GACGAACGCUGGCGGCGUGCCUAAUACAUGCAAGUCGAACGAGAGCGACCGGUGCUUGCACUGGUCAAUCUAGUGGCGAACGGGUGAGUAACACGUGGGUAACCUGCCCAUCAGAGGGGGAUAACAUCCGGAAACGGAUGCUAAAACCGCAUAGGUCUUCGAACCGCAUGGUUUGAAGAGGAAAAGAGGCGCAAGCUUCUGCUGAUGGAUGGACCCGCGGUGCAUUAGCUAGUUGGUGAGGUAACGGCUCACCAAGGCCGUGAUGCAUAGCCGACCUGAGGGGGUGAUCGGCCACAUUGGGAGUGGAACACGGACCAAACUCCUGCGGGAGGCAGCAGUAGGGAAUCUUCCGCAAUGGACGCAAGUCUGACGGAGCAACGCCGCGUGAGUGAAGAAGGUUUUCGGAUCGUAAAACUCUGUUGUUAGAGAAGAACAAGUGCUAGAGUAACUGUUAGCGCCUUGACGGUAUCUAACCAGAAAGCCACGGCUAACUACGUG